rnacentral:rRNA from 1 species
GACGUAGGGCGCGAGCGUUGUCCGGAUUUAUUGGGCGUAAAGAGCUCGUAGGCGGCUCAUUGCGUCAACCGUGAAAACCAGCAGCUCAACUGUUGGCUUGCGGUUGAUACGGGUGGGCUGGAGUUCGGUAGGGGAGACUGGAAUUCCUGGUGUAGCGGUGAAAUGCGCAGAUAUCCGAAGGAACACCGGUGGCGAAGGCGGCUUCCUGGACCGACACUGACGCUGAGGCGCGAAAGCUAGGGGAGCAAACAGG